AACGCACAUUGCGCCCGCUAGUACUCUAGCGGGCAUGCCUGUUCGAGCGUCAUUUCGACCAUCAAGUCUUUAUUGCUUGUGUUGGAGCACUACAGCUUUGCUGUAGGCUCUGAAAUACAGUGGCGGACUUGCUGAGAUUCCGAGCGCAGUAGUUUUCAACUCGCUUAGGGCAUCCAGUAGGUGAAUCUAGCCGUUAAACCCCCAAUUUUACAUGGUUGACCUCGGAUCAGGUAGGAAUACCCGCUGAACUUAA
rnacentral:misc_RNA from 1 species